rnacentral:rRNA from 1 species
CAAUAGCGUAUAUUAAAGUUGUUGCAGUUAAAAAGCUCGGAGUUGAAUUUCUGGUGGGCGCGCCGGUCUUCCAAGUGUUGUACUGGGCGCAGUCCGCCAUCCUUGUGGAGAGGGCUCGCAUUGAGUUGCGUGUCGGAUCUGCAUCAUUUACUGUGAAAAAAUUAGAGUGUUUAAAGCAGGCUGUCGCUUGAAUACAUUAGCAUGGAAUAAUAAGAUAGGACUUCGGUCUAUUUUGUUGGUUGCGAACCGAGGUAAUGAUUAAUAGGGAUAGUUGGGGGUAUUCAUAUUUAAUUGUCAGAGGUGAAAUUCUUGGAUUUAUGAAAGAUGAACAACUGCGAAAGCAUUUACCAAGGAUGUUUUCAUUAA